GUAUUUACGGCGUGUGUGUCGAUUCCACUUACAAUCCAUUGACAUCUGGUCUCUGUUCUUACCGUCAUCACAGCGAACUAACUGUAGCUUUUUUCUCUUUACUCGUAGAAACCUCUGCGCCAUGAGAGCCAAGUGGAGGAAGAAGCGAAUGCGCAGGCUGAAGCGCAAAAGAAGAAAGAUGAGGCAGAGGUCCAAGUAAACCGCUAGCUUGUGCACCCUUGGAAGCCACAAGAGCAGAAAGAAGGGAAGCCAGAGGCCAGGGACGCUGGUACAAAUUGUUGGACUGCAUGCCUGCUGUCUAGAACUUACCGAUGGAUCUGGAACAUACAUGCCAUCUGAUCGCCGCGACCGCCUUUUGAGAGAACCCACCCUACUCUUAAAAAAAAACAACAGUCCCUUUUGGAUCUUUGCCUUGGACCUGUGACAUUCCGGACUGGUUCUGUUCUCAGUUGUGGCUGAAUGUAACGUGUACAAUAAAAUCAUCUCUUCUGUCUAAGCUGAAGAAAAA